AUGCAGUUGAUCUUUUGUGUUAUUUGAUACUUUUAUUAGUGGUUCUUGACAGCUUGCAUGAUGCUUAUUGUUGAAUGGUUUCUUAUUCUCAUGCGAUUUUUUUCCUCUCUUCGUCCAGCAUUCACCAAUAAGCGAAAGUUUCUUUUAGUUGCACGGAGAUAUAGGCAUGGCUCUCACACCGAGUAUAUAAAUAAAUUAUAAUAUCACUUGAUGCUGAUGACAUAUCCCAACGAACCAAUGCUUAUGUGGGAAAAUUAAGGUAAGGUUUUUUUAUGAAAGAAAGUAAAGUUAAGGGUGGUUUUCUUUUUUAUUCCAGGAGUUGUGGUUCUUCAUUUUUUGGGGCCUUUUUCUCUGCUAUUGUAACAUUUUGGUAAUAGAGGUAAGUAAUUUAGAGUUAUUCUUUUCAGGCUUUUCUGUAAGAAAGUAAUAAUUCUUUUGCGCAAAUUCUGAGGUUUCAGUUUUGUAUGAUCUCAACGUUAAAUGUGUUUCAUGUUGUUUUAUGAAUGUAUUGGACUACUAGAAAGAACUGCUGUGAAAUUCUUCCAGUUUUGGCAAAACACUGCAAUCCUACUUCUGCUUUUCCACUUCCUUCCAG
rnacentral:lncRNA from 1 species